ACGGAAGGCAGCAGUGAGGAAUAUUGGUCAAUGGGCGGAAGCCUGAACCAGCCAUCUCGCGUGCAGGACUACGGCCCUACGGGUCUUAAACUGCUUUUAUGGGGGGAUAAAGUCGGGCAUGCGUGUCCGUUUGCAGGUACCCCAUGAAUAAGGAUCGGCUAACUCCGUGCCAGCAGCCGCGGUAAUACGGAGGAUCCGAGCGUUAUCCGGAUUUAUUGGGUUUAAAGGGUGCGCAGGCGGCCCGUUAAGUCAGCGGUGAAAUGUCGGGGCUCAACCCGGGCACUGCCGUUGAAACUGGGGGGCUUGAGUACGGAUGAGGUUUGCGGAAUUCGUUGUGUAGCGGUGAAAUGCAUAGAUAUGACGAAGAACACCGAUUGCGUAGGCAGCAGACCAGGCCGUAAAUGACGCUCAUGCACGAAAGUGCGGGGAUCGAACAGGAUUAGAUACCCUGGUA
rnacentral:rRNA from 1 species